GACGAACGCUGGCGGCGUGCUUAACACAUGCAAGUCGAGCGGAAAGGCCCUUCGGGGUACUCGAGCGGCGAACGGGUGAGUAACACGUGAGCAACCUGCCCCUGACUCUGGGAUAAGCCCGGGAAACUGGGUCUAAUACCGGAUACGACAUCGAUUCGCAUGGGUUGGUGUGGAAAGUUUUUUCGGUCAGGGAUGGGCUCGCGGCCUAUCAGCUUGUUGGUGGGGUAGUGGCCUACCAAGGCGACGACGGGUAGCCGGCCUGAGAGGGCGACCGGCCACACUGGGACUGAGACACGGCCCAGACUCCUACGGGAGGCAGCAGUGGGGAAUAUUGCACAAUGGGGGAACCCUGAUGCAGCGACGCCGCGUGC
rnacentral:rRNA from 1 species